GACGAACGCUGGCGGCGUGCUUAACACAUGCAAGUCGAGCGGUAAGGCCCUUUCGGGGGUACGACGAGCGGCGAACGGGUGAGUAACACGUGGGUGACCUGCCCUCAGCUCUGGGAUAAGCCUGGGAAACCGGGUACUAAUACCGGAUAUGACUCCAUGACGCAUGUUGUGGGGUGGAAAGACCUUGUGCGGCUGAGGAUGGGCCCGCGGCCUAUCAGCUUGUUGGUGGGGUGAUGGCCUACCAAGGCGACGACGGGUAGCCGGCCUGAGAGGGCGACCGGCCACACUGGGACUGAGACACGGCCCAGACUCCUACGGGAGGCAGCAGUGGGGAAUCUUGCGCAAUGGGCGAAAGCCUGACGCAGCGACG
rnacentral:rRNA from 1 species